GGGAAUGUGGCUUAGUGGUAGAGUACUUGCCUAGCAUGCACAAAGCCAUGGGUUCGAUUCCUCAGUACCA
rnacentral:tRNA from 1 species